GAUGAACGCUGGCGGCGUGCUUAACACAUGCAAGUCGAACGUGAUAGGUAGCAAUAUCUUGAAAGUGGCGAACGGGUGAGUAACACGUGGGUAACCUGCCUCGGAGUGGGGGAUAACAGUUAGAAAUGACUGCUAAAAACCGCAUGAAUCCAUCGAUUGGGGACAAUUAAUGGAGAAAACUCUGGUGCUUCGAGAGGGGCCCGCGGCCGAUUAGCUAGUUGGUGAGGUAAUGGCUCACCAAGGCGACGAUCGGUAGCUGGUCUGAGAGGACGAUCAGCCACACGGGAACUGAGACACGGUCCCGACUCCUACGGGGGGGCAGCAGUGAGGAAUAUUGGGCAAUGGGCGCAAGCCUGACCCAGCAACGCCGCGUGGAGGAAUGAAGGCCUUGGGUUGUAAACUCCUUUGCAGGGAAGAGGAAGGACGGUACCCUGCGAAUAAGUCACGGCUAACUACGUGCCAGCAGCCGCGGUAAU
rnacentral:rRNA from 1 species